rnacentral:rRNA from 1 species
GUCGAGCGAACAGACGAGGAGCUUGCUCCUCUGACGUUAGCGGCGGACGGGUGAGUAACACGUGGAUAACCUACCUAUAAGACUGGGAUAACUUCGGGAAACCGGAGCUAAUACCGGAUAAUAUAUUGAACCGCAUGGUUCAAUAGUGAAAGACGGUUUUGCUGUCACUUAUAGAUGGAUCCGCGCCGCAUUAGCUAGUUGGUAAGGUAACGGCUUACCAAGGCAACGAUGCGUAGCCGACCUGAGAGGGUGAUCGGCCACACUGGAACUGAGACACGGUCCAGACUCCUACGGGAGGCAGCAGUAGGGAAUCUUCCGCAAUGGGCGAAAGCCUGACGGAGCAACGCCGCGUGAGUGAUGAAGGUCUUCGGAUCGUAAAACUCUGUUAUUAGGGAAGAACAAAUGUGUAAGUAACUAUGCACGUCUUGACGGUACCUAAUCAGAAAGCCACGGCUAACUACGUGCCAGCAGCCGCGGUAAUACGUAGGUGGCAAGCGUUAUCCGGAAUUAUUGGGCGUAAAGCGCGCGUAGGCGGUUUUUUAAGUCUGAUGUGAAAGCCCACGGCUCAACCGUGGAGGGUCAUUGGAAACUGGAAAACUUGAGUGCAGAAGAGGAAGGUGGAAUUCCAUGUGUAGCGGUGAAAUGCGCAGAGAUAUGGAGGAACACCAGUGGCGAAGGCGACUUUCUGGU